rnacentral:rRNA from 1 species
GACGAACGCUGGCGGCGUGCUUAACACAUGCAAGUCGAACGGAAAGGCCCCUUUGGGGGUGCUCGAGUGGCGAACGGGUGAGUAACACGUGAGUAACCUGCCCCCUUCUUUGGGAUAACUGUCGGAAACGGUGGCUAAUACCGGAUAUUCACUGCUGGACGCAUGUUUGGUGGUGGAAAGUUUUUCGGUGGGGGAUGGGCUCGCGGCCUAUCAGCUUGUUGGUGGGGUGAUGGCCUACCAAGGCGGUGACGGGUAGCCGGCCUGAGAGGGCGACCGGCCACACUGGGACUGAGACACGGCCCAGACUCCUACGGGAGGCAGCAGUGGGGAAUAUUCGCACAAUGGACGGAAGUCUGAUGCAGCGACGCCGCGUGAGGGAUGACGGCCU